rnacentral:tRNA from 1 species
UGGAGCGGUGCGAGAGUGGCCGAAUCGGGCUCCCUGCUAAGGAGUUGUACCCAUCCGGGUACCGGGGGUUCGAAUCCCCCCUGCUCCGUAAG